rnacentral:rRNA from 1 species
AUUGAACGCUGGCGGCAGGCCUAACACAUGCAAGCCGAACGGUAACAGAAAGCAGCUUGCUGCUUUGCUGACGAGUGGCGGACGGGUGAGUAAUGUCUGGGAAACUGCCCGAUGGAGGGGGAUAACUACUGGAAACGGUAGCUAAUACCGCAUAACGUCGCAAGACCAAAGAGGGGGACCUUCGGGCCUCUUGCCAUCGGAUGUGCCCAGAUGGGAUUAGCUAGUAGGUGGGGUAAAGGCUCACCUAGGCGACGAUCCCUAGCUGGUCUGAGAGGAUGACCAGCCACACUGGAACUGAGACACGGUCCAGACUCCUACGGGAGGCAGCAGUGGGGAAUAUUGCACAAUGGGCGCAAGCCUGAUGCAGCCAUGCCGCGUGUAUGAAGAAGGCCUUCGGGUUGUAAAGUACUUUCAGCAGGGAGGAAGGGAGUAAAGUUAAUACCUUUGCUCAUUGACGUUACCCGCAGAAGAAGCACCGGCUAACUCCGUGCCAGCAGCCGCGGUAAUACGGAGGGUGCAAGCGUUAAUCGGAAUUACUGGGCGUAAAGCGCACGCAGGCGGUUUGUUAAGUCAGAUGUGAAAUCCCCGGGCUCAACCUGGGAACUGCAUCUGAUACUGGCAAGCUUGAGUCUCGUAGAGGGGGGUAGAAUUCCAGGUGUAGCGGUGAAAUGCGUAGAGAUCUGGAGGAAUACCGGUGGCGAAGGCGGCCCCUGGACGAAGACUGACGCUCAGGUGCGAAAGCGUGGGGAGCAAACAGGAUUAGAUACCCUGGUAGUCCACGCCGUAAACGAUGUCGACUUGGAGGUUGUGCCCUUGAGGCGUGGCUUCCGGAGCUAACGCGUUAAGUCGACCGCCUGGGGAGUACGGCCGCAAGGUUAAAACUCAAAUGAAUUGACGGGGGCCCGCACAAGCGGUGGAGCAUGUGGUUUAAUUCGAUGCAACGCGAAGAACCUUACCUGGUCUUGACAUCCACGGAAGUUUUCAGAGAUGAGAAUGUGCCUUCGGGAACCGUGAGACAGGUGCUGCAUGGCUGUCGUCAGCUCGUGUUGUGAAAUGUUGGGUUAAGUCCCGCAACGAGCGCAACCCUUAUCCUUUGUUGCCAGCGGUCCGGCCGGGAACUCAAAGGAGACUGCCAGUGAUAAACUGGAGGAAGGUGGGGAUGACGUCAAGUCAUCGUGGCCCUUACGACCAGGGCUACACACGUGCUACAAUGGCGCAUACAAAGAGAAGCGACCUCGCGAGAGCAAGCGGACCUCAUAAAGUGCGUCGUAGUCCGGAUUGGAGUCUGCAACUCGACUCCAUGAAGUCGGAAUCGCCAGUAAUCGUGGAUCAGAAUGCCACGGUGAAUACGUUCCCGGGCCUUGUACGCACCGCCCGUCACACCAUGGGAGUGGGUUGCAAAAGAAGUAGAUAGCUUAACCUUCGGGAGGGCGCUUACCA